GAUGAACGCUGGCGGCGUGCUUAACACAUGCAAGUCGAACGGGAAACCUUUUAUUGAAGCUUCGGCAGAUUUCGCUGGUUUCUAGUGGCGGACGGGUGAGUAACGCGUGGGUAACCUGCCUUAUACAGGGGGAUAACAGUCAGAAAUGGCUGCUAAUACCGCAUCAGCGCACCGAGCUGCAUGGCUCAGUGUGAAAAACUCCGGUGGUAUAAGAUGGACCCGCGUUGGAUUAGCUGGUUGGUGGGGUAACGGCCCACCAAGGCGACGAUCCAUAGCCGGCCAGAGAGGGUGAACGGCCACAUUGGGACUGAGACACGGCCCAGACUCCUACGGGAGGAAGCAGUGGGGAAUAUUGCACAAAGGGGGAAAACCUGAGGCAGCGACGCAGCGUGAAGGAAGAAGUAGCUCGGUAUGUAAACGUCUAUCAGCAGGGAAGAUAAAGACGGUACCUGACGAAGAAGCCCCGGCUAACUACGUG
rnacentral:rRNA from 1 species